GUAAAACCGUGUUAACACCUGGCCUGCUUCAUACGGGCAAUGAGGUACUCAGGGGGAAUGGAAUUCCUGGUGUAGCGGUGAAAUCGCAGAUAUCAGGAGGAACACCGGUGGCGAAGCGGUUCUUGGGAGUAUCCUGACGUGAAGCGAAAGUUGGGCGACAGGUUGAUACUGUAGUCCCACCGUAAACUUGGGCGCUAGGUGUGGCAUCCAUUCCACGGGUUGCCGUCCGCAGCUAACCAUUAAGCUCCCCCUGGGGAGUACGGCCGCAAGCUAAAACUCAAAGGAAUUACGGCCCGCACAAGCGGCGGAGCAUGCGGAUUAAUUCGACAACCGAAGAACCUUACCGGGUUUGACAUACCCGGAAAGCCGAGAGAU
rnacentral:rRNA from 1 species